rnacentral:rRNA from 1 species
UCAGAUGUGAAAUCCCCGGGCUCAACCUGGGAACUGCAUCUGAUACUGGCAAGCUUGAGUCUCGUAGAGGGGGGUAGAAUUCCAGGUGUAGCGGUGAAAUGCGUAGAGAUCUGGAGGAAUACCGGUGGCGAAGGCGGCCCCCUGGACGAAGACUGACGCUCAGGUGCGAAAGCGUGGGGAGCAAACAGGAUUAGAUACCCUGGUAGUCCACGCCGUAAACGAUGUCGACUUGGAGGUUGUGCCCUUGAGGCGUGGCUUCCGGAGCUAACGCGUUAAGUCGACCGCCUGGGGAGUACGGCCGCAAGGUUAAAACUCAAAUGAAUUGACGGGGGCCCGCACAAGCGGUGGAGCAUGUGGUUUAAUUCGAUGCAACGCGAAGAACC